UGGUAAUGCCGGAUGUUCCAGUUGAUCGCAUGGUCUUCUGGGAAAGCUUUCGCGGUAUGGGAUGGGGUCGCGUCCUAUCAGCUUGACGGCGGGGUAACGGCCCACCGUGGCUUCGACGGGUAGCCGGCCUGAGAGGGCGACCGGCCACAUUGGGACUGAGAUACGGCCCAGACUCCUACGGGAGGCAGCAGUGGGGAAUAUUGCACAAUGGGCGCAAGCCUGAUGCAGCGACGCCGCGUGAGGGAUGGAGGCCUUCGGGUUGUAAACCUCUUUUAUCGGGGAGCAAGCGUGAGUGAGUUUACCCGUUGAAUAAGCACCGGCUAACUACGUGCCAGCAGCCGCGGUAAUACGUAGGGUGCAAGCGUUAUCCGGAAUUAUUGGGCGUAAAGGGCUCGUAGGCGGUUCGUCGCGUCCGGUGUGAAAGUCCAUCGCUUAACGGUGGAUCCGCGCCGGGUACGGGCGGGCUUGAGUGCGGUAGGGGAGACUGGAAUUCCCGGUGUAACGGUGGAAUGUGUAGAUAUCGGAAAAGAACACCA
rnacentral:rRNA from 2 species